UUGUCAAAUCAUUCUUAUCCUUCAAAAGAACUUGAUAACAUACAUUCUAGAGUUGAAUUUCUUCCCGUUCUUCUCUCAUACAACAGUCACCGCCCGCUCACAGAAAUCUUCAUCACGCUAUCCUUCCUGUUCUUCUCUCUCAAACAAGCGGAAAAAUUAGGCGGGAUUUUGAGAGAAAAGAGAGGAGUCCUAUUUAGGAUUCUUCUCAACCCAAAAGAGAUGGACAACAAUAUAAACUCAUCAGAACAUCAACUUCUCUGUUCAAUCUUCAUCUCGAAGGUUCUUUCUCCUUAACUGACGUUGCUGAUUGAAGGUGUUUCAAACACAUCCACCAAAACGAUGACAUUUCAAGCUCUACAAGUCAAGGCUUCCUCUACCCCUGCUGAAUUGAAAAGAAAGCGUGGAAAAACUAUUGGAAAAUGUAUAAUUCAAAUGAUUGCUAGGAAUGGCAACGAGAAGAUGGAGAUAAUAUUUGACCGGAUGCAUUGGGUCCCUAUUACUGAAUACAUGUAUAGUAAGUUCACUACCUCUAUAGGAAUUCAGGUUCGAAGUCAAGCUCCGGUAUGUUACUGUGGGUGGAAUAAGAUUCCAACAGAUAUUAAGAAGACAUUGAGAGAGGGAUUAACAGUAAGUUAAUUAUUUUUUUCAACAAAUAUUUAGUCUUGCAUUUUGUAUUUUCGACAACUAUGCUGAUUUGACAUAUCUUUAUAAAGAUAUUGGCGACAAUUCAGAGUUGUCUUAAAAAUGUUAAAUUUCUCGCUUAAUUAAAUAUGCGACGACUUUGGAUUGUCGCAACCAGUUGUCGCCUUAUGUG